rnacentral:ncRNA from 1 species
CGUUCCACCUUAGGGGGAAGCACUCGCGUUAGCGGGAGUAGACGAAGUGGAAGCGAGAAUGUCAGCUUGAGUAACGCAAACAUUGGUGAGAAUUCAAUGCCCCGAAAACCUAAGGGUUCCUCCGCAAGGUUCAUCCACGGAGGGUGAGUCAGGGCUUAAGAUCAGGCCGAAAGGCGUAGUCAAUGGGCAACAGGUGAAUAUUCUUGUACUACCCCUUGUUAGUCACAUUAAGUUUUAAUUUCAUAUCUUAUUCAACCUCUAAUUCAAUUUCUACCAUUUUUGGUGAUUUGUCAAAGUCACACAACUGCUGCUAUCCGAAAUUGUUUUAUUACAAAAUUUCACUUUUACAUAAUUUCACUUACUCCAUUCUAUCUUACCAAAAGAUUCGCUCAACUAUCGAGCACAUUCCUCACAAAUUUUCACAUAGAUAUAUUUGCACUUAUUCAUCACAUAGUCAUGUACAUAUGUAUUUUCACUUAGUAAAUUUCCCGUUGAACUCAUCGGAAUAAUAACAGAUACCCGGUGGCCUGUGCAUAUACCACCCUUGCAACCGAAGCUCUCUUGUACACAUAGUAGCUUGCCCUUAGUACUACACAUACGACCUAUCAAUCUGGUACACGUAGUAGCCUAGACU